CACUGAACUACUUCCCCCAGCUCUUUAUUUAUGUAUUAUUUUGAGACAGGGGCUUGCUAAAUUGUGCGGGCUGGCCUCCAACUUGCUAUCCUCCUGCCCAUCCUCCCAAGUUGGUGGGAUUAGACCUGUGCCACUGCACUGAUUCCUUGGUCUUUAGUAGUUAUUGACGAUCUUUCUUCAGCUCUGUUCUGUUUCCUUAGGGGGAUGGGAGGGGCAAGGAAAGAUUUGGGACUCUCCAUGAUCAGCUUUCAUGAUUAGAAAUGGGAUGGGAGAGGAAUUGUGUCUGCUGAGCACCCCUUGUCCUCACAAAAGCACUUGAGGUCACUGAAAAAGAGUCUCGGGGCAGGAGAGGGCAUAGGGUGGCAGUGAUGACCCCAGGCCAUGGGGCACAUGGGAGCCAGCAGGGGAGACCCCUGGAAAUGUCUAGAGAGAAGGUUAGAAGUGGAAGAGGUGAUGUGGUGCCAUGGGUUGCUUUCCUGCUUGUUCCAGGAAAGAGGAGUCAUGGCUGGUUGUGACUCCUCUGUCUUCCCAGUAGAGCUGAGGCUGCACCCAGCUGGGUCCCAAAGCUGCUUCUCUUUGCCCCCACCUUCCCUCCCCUCCCCAUCGCUCAGAUUCCAAUACAAUUUCCAGCUAACCAGCAUGUCGAUAGAACAAGUCGGGCGGCCGGAUUGCUGGCCAAUUACAGGAAAUCAUUCUGCUCCACAGCUCAGCGCUUCGGGAGAGGGAGGGAGGGACUGAAGGAGCAGUCGCCCAGCUAGCAGGCUGGGAAGGGGCUCCUGGCAGAAAGCAGGGAGUGCUGCAGCCCCCAGGGCAGGAGAGGAUGGAUGGGAAGGCUCCUGGGGACAGACUGGCCUGGGGCUCUUCCUCAGCCUCACUCAAAGCUCUGGAUCCAGCUUCCCUGUGAUGGGGAGAUUGAUGCCUCAAGCCACAAAGAGAGCUGGGGGCUGAGGGCGGAUGAAGAGGGUCCUGGAGGGAAGGCAUUUGCUUGGAGCUGAAGAGGAUAGGAUGGGGGGAUGGUGAGACCAACCUCCUCUAGAACCCCAAGGAGUGGGGGUGGAAAUGGGGAUGGCACCCAGGCCUCACCCAGGGGAGCCCUGUAGGGCUAUCUGGGGGCCUGAAGCUGGAGCCACACAGGCAAGACCUGUACUUCCACAGCAGGCCCUGGCCAAGGGUAUCCCAAGGGAAGGGGGAAUUGGGGAGGAAAGGGGCCCAGCCUGCAGCUGAGAGGACUAGCAGCAGCCUGGCUUGAGGAAAGGGUGAGUUUUUCACCCCAGCUUCCCUUCCACUCCAGAAGGCAGGCUGCAGAAGUUGGGGGCGGGGGUCAGACAGUACUCUUCACUUAGCUUCCCAGCUCUUUAAUUUCCACCUCUGGCUCUCAGGUUAAAGUCCCCUCUGCCCCCUAUCUAUCCCACCUUCUGUGCCCACUUGAAGGCUUGUUUGCCUACUCCACCCCUACCCCUCAUCAUGUCUCUCCCCAACUGUUUUAGGCCCUCUUCCAAACUGCCUGCCCAACCAGCAGACCCAGCUCCCCAUCUCAAAGAGGAGCUCUCUCCCCUGCUCCUGGGUGUUUCCUUCAAAGUACUGGAAGAUCUUUGAGGAACAGAAAAUUACCUAGGACUAAUUCCACCCAAUGAUUGACUAUUGUUGCAGUUUACAAGCCCAAAAGGAGACUUCUGGGAUCCAGUGACUUCCUCUGCUCCAGUCUGUAUAGCCACCAACCCAGCUACAGGACCCUGGUCAAGUCCUUUAGCCUCAGUGUCCCGGUGUGUGAAAUGGGCCAACGUCCUCGGUCUCUCAGAUCAUAUGUGAGGAGGAAAAGAGAGGAUGUGCAAGACAAGAAGGAAGGACUCACCAGUAGGCCAGAGGGAGCCGGUGCCAGGUGUUACCCUGGUCAGGAUCCUUGCCUCCCUGCACCGGCUCCUCAGCCAGGAGUCAGCGCGAUGAAGAAGUCAGCCACAACUAGAGGACAGUUCUUUUCCCAUCACACCUGGAGUUUGGGUGAAUAAGCAUGGCUGACAUGAAACCCAGAGCUGCACUGAGAAGCAAACUCACUCCCCAGCCUCAAUUUUCCUAAUUGUGAAAUGGGACUACAAGGCCAUAAGCCACUAAGCAUGAAGUGCUAUUUGGACAGGCGGGUGACUUCUGGAGGCUACUGAAUGCAUUGUCCUGCCUUCCACACACACACACUUCUAACCCACUAUGCCCCGUCUGCAGAGGAUUAUCUCUGCUGGCAAAAUGUCUUUGGGCCUAGCAACUCACCAUUUAUCAACUCAGGAAGUCCUUCUGACAAUCUACCUUAAAUCUCCUACUGCUUCCUUCAGGGAAAAUUUAAAGAACAAACAGCAAAAAGAUAAAUGCUUAUGGGCUGGUGAUGCCAUAAUAUUUUUUAAAAAUACCCCCAAAGAUGGCCGGGGGUGGGGUGGGGUGGGGUGGGAAUUACCUCUGGACACAAUGCUCUUUACACUAAACAUCUUGGCGAUAAAUAUAGCUGUGUAAUUCUUUUUUCUCCUUGGCAGAGAGAAAGGCUGAGGCUGGGCAGAAAGGCAGAGGGACCCGAAAAUAUAAAUCAAUAUGUGACUUUAA